CCUGCAGGACACCGGCCCUCCAGGCCUGGAGUCCUCACACCUUUUGCUCUACUACAUCACACUGACUUUCUGUAUUUUGACACUCUCUCUACUUUAUGCCGGAGAAAAAACAAGAGGCAUAUGUGUGCUGUUGUGUCAAAGCAGCAGACGACUGGUUGCAGCCACUUCUACCUGCUGAUUGCCGGAGUCCAAAUGCUGGGAGGACUGAGGAAGCCCAGGGAGAGAUAGAGAUCAGAGUCGGGGUUAGGGUUUCAGGGCUCUGAAUGCUGAAGCUGAGGCUUGUACGAUAAUGUUCAGGCUCCCAGAGGUUACAGAUCCACUCGAAGGGAGCAGUUCAUUCAGUCAUCAAUCUGAGUUGAUGUUAAAGAACUGCAGAACUGAUGGAGCAUGAAUAAGUGAAAUAACACCAGAACAGCAAAGAAAGACUAACCAGAGAAAGGCUUAAAGCUGACAGCGUCGAAGUGUCUGUCAGCUUGGAGUCAGUGCAAUAACCAAACACAUGAACAUCGCAAGUGAUCUGUUUUUGGCUGCUGGUCUUUUGUGCUGACUCAAUGCAGAGAAAAAGAAAAUCGACCUAACGGAAGAUGAGGGAAAUUAAUUGUUUUCAAAGUAUUCACUGAAAAAUUGGACAGAAAUAUUCAAGCUGAAUGGCCAAAAGUUUGCACGAGGACUGGAUUUUAAUACCUCUCAACAGCUUCCAAACAGAAGCCCAGAAAGGAUGCACUGCUGCUGAACUCCAGCUCCAAAGACUUUUCUCAUCACAUCAUUAAGGUGAAUCUAAGCUUCAUGCUAUUUCAGGAGGAGAAUGCUGCACACAAAGAAGACUGACAGAGAAUACGGCGAACAAAACAAACACAUCCUGUGUGAACAGAUGAGCUCACGAGACUGGGACUGUAAUUGGACACCAUCAGGUCUGGAAUGAUCCAGCAAUAGUCACAGUUAUUCACCCACCUAUACCAGCGCCCUUAGUACUGGAAAGAAAACAUCAGAUCUGAGCUUAAACCCACUGACAGGGUCGUUAUCCACAGAGUGGGCUACAGACGGGGAGCAGCAGCACAUAAAGCUGUCAGAGGGACCCGACCGUGCAGGAGACCUUAACAGGUUCCACACUAUACAGGGCAGAUUUGUCCUGUGGUUGUACCAUGUCUAUUGAUUGCUUUCUUAGAAAAUAUUCACUCACAAUGUGCCUGAUAUGUUGCACUCCAGUCUUGAACUCAUUUGAGGUGUCAAGUUCAAAAACAUGCACUGUCAUGUCCCAGCGCUCAGCCGAGCAAAGUAAAAACUGUGCACCAAAGGCGAAACUGCCAAACCCUGCCAGAGAAUAUAUACACUUAUUUUGCUCAUAAAUUCCUGUUAGAUCCCAGAUUAAUGAAUCUCACAGGUUCCUGCUAAGGAGAGUUUUCUGAAGAAUUCAAAUAAAUAGCAAUAAUUAAACUAAAAUAAGUAGAGUCGGGGACGCCUGAUCGGACAGCCUGCACCAACAGAGACCGCCUGCUGUUAACAGCACAAGCUCUCAUCCCUGUGAGGGAGACAGUCUCCUGUGUCACACACCGUGGGCACACCCCACACACCGUGGGCACACCCCACACACCGUGGGCAUACCCCACACACUGCAAGACCAACAAAAAGAGCAAGAACAAAAAUACUAGACAGGGACAAAGUUGUUGAAGUGCGAGUACAAGUUUUUUAUUUAGUCUAAUGCUUGUUCUAAUAAAAUGGAUAAAUCUUUGCCCUGACCAUAAAACACAGGUUAUUAAUAACUGUUUCCCAGUGAACAACAGCAGGGUUUGGUUGAAUCAUCUCCUCUGUCUUUACUCUUUCCUUCCUUUGGACGACCUGUGCAGCCUCUCGGUGCAGGUAUCACCUCAUGCAUCAGUACUGACACAGACUGUAGUCAAAUGCAAAGCUAGUGAAAAAAUGAAAAAUAAUAAUUUCAUGUGUGAUAUGUAGCCAAGUGUAGCAAGUGUAUAUUUAAUUCAUUUCUUCUACUUACAUAUGUGGAAUUUUAACCUGCAAAGCUUCCCUACCAUCAGCUCCACAGAAGAGCGGAUCGAUGUAACGCACGGACUUCCCGUGACACGCCUCCUGCAGCUCAUCCUCAAAGACUUACUCCGAGACCUGGGGAAUCUCUUCUGUGUAUGUGAGGGCUGAUAACAGCACUAAGAUCGCCCCCACUCGCCUAGCAACGCCGUCUCUCCAUACAACUGGAUAGCUGGAUUGGCACCAGCCUUUCUUCCAGCACCAUAAAAGGUGCAAAUAGAUUUAACUUUGCUCGACCAGGAAAGUGUUGAGAUUUAAAAUGUCUUUUGUGAGCAUGUCCUGGCCAAGAAACAGCUGCUAAAUCACCAGGCUGACAUAAUAGCAUACAAAAAGCAAAAUACACGGACAGUAAGAAAAUGGGAGCACGCCAGGAUGCAGAAGGACAAAACAGAGCAUCUAACCUGAG